ensembl:processed_transcript 4930405A21Rik RIKEN cDNA 4930405A21 gene
ACCGCGCGGCCCACGCCCUGGCCGGCCGGUCUUGAAAGGGAGUGCGCGCCCGCGCCAACUCGCGCAUGCCCGAGUGAGGGGCUCCGCCCUCUCGAACCGCCCCGCCAAACCGGUUCCAGCUGGAACGCAAUGCGUGGUCUGUACGGGAGUUGGAGUGGCCGUCCGUCCCUGCGGGCUCACCCUGGUGGCGACGCCUCGCUGUAGCAGAUGGUGGCAGAGUGUCAUAAGGGGCAGUGUCCUUUUCUUAACUCGGCACAAAAGUACUACAUGGACCAGCUGCAGCUCUGGCCAGAAGCCUGGCGAUCUGGUGGCUCCGGCUCUCCUAGGUGGCAGGAUCAAGAUGUAAAACUCUCAACUACUUCUGCCACACCAUGCCUACCUGCCUGCUGCCACGCUCCCCACCAUGAUGAUCUUGGACUAAGCCUCUGAAACUAAGCCAGCCUCCAGUUCCAUGCUUUCCUUUAUAAGAGUCACCUUGAGCCAGAUGGGAAACCAAGAGACUUGAGACAAAAUGAGGUUGUCCUCCCAUCCUUCUGCCACCUCCAUGGGGAAAACAUGGCCUGGCUGGGACACUGGCUCCUGAACAGCUUUUGGGCCCAGGGUAUAGGACACAGUGGGCAAAGGCGGCUGAUCGGCAAGCUCAUACCUAAGUGUUUGCUGUUGUCCCCCACUGAGAUGGUACACAAUGUAGAGUGUGACUGCGUAACGACCAAGAGAUAUCACGUUGGCCCCAGGACCAAGCAGGGAGAGAAAGGAUGAGCAAACUCUUAGAGGAGGAUUGGAAAAGGAGCCUGGAUUCUGCGUGGGUCAGGACUCCCAAGGAAAUCCACCUAGAGUGACUUCCCGUGUGCAGAUAGACUUGGGCAAGGCCUGCCUCCUUUGGAUAAGAGCUUAAAGAGAAAAUGCAAAAGAAACAGCCAACCUGUCAGGGACACUCAGGGGAAAUAGGAAGGGCCCAGAAAUGGCUGAGUUGGAAAAUAAAUCUGUCAGUUUU